AUAAGUUCUGAGGAAAUGGCCCAGGACUAGAGGUUUCCCCUCCGACUUUCCCAAGCCCACCUCUCCCCGCCCCUUCUCGCGCUGUGGACGGUCUGAGGCCCUCCCACCCCUCCCCGGGGCGGGGCCAACGCCGCGGGAACCGCACUGCCUCCUCACCUUACCUGCAAUCCCCACUUCACCCCCACCCAUCCCACGGAACCGAAGAACUGGUCGGGUGGAGCAGCCAGGGUCGCAAUGGAGGCCCGCCGGCCCGCGAGAGGAGCAGCGCUGACCAGGUCUUUCCAUGCCGCGUGGCCUGAGCCAGCCACACAGGCACGUCCUCUUGUCAGUCGGGCAAGCGAUUCCACUCCACACUCCUCUUCCUGCCAGAUGGCAGAAGAAUGGCCAGUACCUCCUGAUUGAGACGCAACCAAGCUCUCGGGUGAGGAAGCCUGGACCCCUACAUCCGGACUGGGACAGCACCACCGGGAUCCCCCAUUAAGCCUGCACCCGUAGCAUCAGGAACUUGUGCCAGAAGGGAAUGGCAAGAAAUAUUCAAAGUGAUGAAUACCAAGAACCUACAACCAAGAUUACUUUAUCCAGCAAAGCUAUCAUUCAGAAUUGAAGGUCAGAUAAAGAGCUUCACAGAUAAGGAAAAGCUAAAGGAGUUCAUCACCACCAAACCAGGAUUAUAUGAA